CCCACAGAAUUGGUGCAACGUCUUGCCAAGGAUGAUGCAUUUAACCAAAACUCCAUAUAGUCCCUUGUGUCUACAUGUCCUGUGGUGGUAGCAUACUUGCUUAAGCUGUCUUGGUUGUGUAUGUCUGCAUAUGCAUAUAUAUGUGUAUAUAUAUGUGUGUGUGUG